UACGUAGGGACCAAGCGUUGUUCGGAUUUACUGGGCGUAAAGGGCGCGUAGGCGGCAAUUCAAGUCAGUUGUGAAAUCUCCGAGCUUAACUCGGAACGGUCAACUGAUACUGUUUUGCUAGAGUGCAGAAAGGGCAACCGGAAUUCUUGGUGUAGCGGUGAAAUGCGUAGAUAUCAGGAGGAACACCGGUGGCGAAGGCGGAUCUCUGGGCCUUACCUGACGCUGAGGCGCGAAAGCUAGGGGAGCAAACAGG
rnacentral:rRNA from 1 species